rnacentral:rRNA from 1 species
AUGUGGUAUCUUCGAAGGGAAGUUGUGCUAAGCAAAGACAACCUCACACAUCACAACUGGUUAGGAAGCAAGAAAUGUAGUUUUUGUACUCAUGACGAGACAAUCAAACACCUCUUUUUCCAAUGCAACCUUGCAGGUUCUACGUGGGCAGUCAUCCAAAUAGCAUCAAAUCUGUACCCGCCCACGAGUGUUGCCAAUCUUUUUUAUCAUUGGUUGGACGAUAUCUCAAGUAGGUUUAAAACGCUAAUAAGGAUGGGGUGUAUGCCUUACUAUAGUCGCUUUGGUUAA